CCCAGACAGCCAGGAUGUUGGCUUAGAAGCAGCCAUCAUUUAAAGAAAGCGUAAUAGCUCACUGGUCGAGUCGGCCUGCGCGGAAGAUGUAACGGGGCUAAACCAUGCACCGAAGCUGCGGCAGCGAACGUAUCACCCAAGACAACUUUGCACAGUUGACGAUUGACGGAGCGGAGCGACGUCAAAGCGUUUUACAACGUCGAGUUGGCUUAGGGAUACGUUCGUUGGGUAGGGGAGCGUUCUGUAAGCCUGCGAAGGUGGCCUGUGAGGGUUGCUGGAGGUAUCAGAAGUGCGAAUGCUGACAUAAGUAACGAUAAAGCGGGUGAAAAGCCCGCUCGCCGGAAGACCAA
rnacentral:rRNA from 1 species